GACAGAGGGGGCAAGCGUUUUCCGGAGUUACUGGGCGUAAAGGGCGCGGAGGCGGUCUGCGGCGUCGGCGCUGAAAGCGCCCCGCUUAACGGGGCGAGGCGUGCCGAUACGCGCAGACUUGAGGCGAGCAGAGGGUGGUGGAAUUACGGGUGGAGCGGUGAAAUGCGUAGAGAUCCGGAGGAACGCCAGUGGGGAAGCCGGCCACCUGGGCUCGUCCUGACGCUGCGGCGCGACCGCGUGGGGAGCAAACCGG
rnacentral:rRNA from 1 species